rnacentral:rRNA from 1 species
AAUACGUAGGGGGCGAGCGUUGCCCGAAUUUACUGGGCGUAAAGCGCACGUAGAAACCUCCGUAAGUCUGGUGUGAAAUCUCACGGCUCAACCGGGAGGCUGCACCAGAUACUAAACAGCUCGAGGAAACGAGAGGAGAUUGGAAUUCCCGGUGUAAAACUGAAAUGCAUUGAUAUCGGGAGGAACACCAGUGGCGAAGAAACAUCUCUGGCCCGCUUCUGACGCUGAGGUGCGAAAGCUGGGGGAGCGAAAGGGAUUAGAUACCCCUGUAGUCCCAGCCCUAAACGAUGGGCGCUAGGUGUUGGGGGAUUAUCUCUCAGCGCCGUAGCUAACGCAUUAAGCGCCCCGCCUGGGGAGUACGGCCGCAAGGUU